AUGUCCUUCCCGAGCCGAGCGUCCCACUUGAACUCAAGUAGUAGCAGAGAGGGGGAGACAGAGGAGAGCAGAGAAACAGAGAGAGGACAGGAUUAUCGGAGCAUGGGGCUGCUGGCGCUCAAGCGGGAGCUCAAGCGGAACCAUGGCCGUAGCCAAUCCAAUAAAGGAUCGGCUGCUUCAUUAUCUAAAAGAGACAUAUCACCUUUCCAACAGGAUGAUAAUUCACACACGGAAAAAAGAAAGGAUGAUAAUUCUCAUGGUGGAAAAAAGGCAAGAUUUAUUGGUCCAGACCUUCCAGAGGAAAUCUGGCAUCAUAUACAUUCACUAGUGCCAAUGCGGGACGCGGCCAGGGCUGCCUGUGUGUCUCGUUCCUUUCUGAACUCAUGGAAAUGCCAUCAGAAUCUCGCCUUCACCAAUGAAACAAUGUGCUCAGAAGAAACAUCAUUGAAGGGAACAACUGACCCGAAUUAUAGAAGAAAUAGAAGAGAGUAUAACAACAAUAUUGACCGUAUUAUGGCAAAUCAUAGAGACGUCGGUGUGAAGACAUUCGAGCUUGAAUUCUAUGGUCCUUACAAUACCAAAUUUUAUAAUCGUCUCAAUAAUUGGCUUCAGAUUGUUGUUACACCAGUGAUGGAAAAACUUACACUUACACUUCCAUCGGAGAAGGCAAAGUAUGAGUUCCCUUGUUCACUUUUAUCUGACAGAAGUGGAAACACGAUAAGGCAUCUCGACCUUGCUAAUUGUAUCUUGCAUCCAACAGUUAACCUUAAUUUGAGAUGCCUGGCAGUAUUGGAUUUGUAUGAAGUGCAUAUCACAGGGGGUGAGUUAGCGUGCCUUCUUUCUAAUUCAUUUUCUCUGGAAAAAUUGACACUCCUACAUUGUCAUGAUAUGAUUCGCCUCGAGGUGCCUUGCCUGCUGCAGCGGCUAAGCCAUCUCGAGGUGUUUGAAUGCCCGAGACUUCAAGUUAUAGAGAACAAAGCUCCAAAUAUCUCCAGCUUUGAGUAUACAGGUAAUGAAGUAGUACAACUCUCACUUGGAGAAUCAUUGCAAGUGAAGUACCUUAGGUUGGAUUAUAGAUGUGCCAUCAGUCAUGCUAUCGACAAGCUUCCAUCCAGUGUGCCUAAUCUUGAGACUCUCAUAAUAAUUUCUCCUCGUGAGAUAGUCAAUGCACCAAUGAUACCUAGCAAAUUUCUCCACCUCAAGACCUUGAGUAUUACUAUUCGUAGGUGGUGGAGCCUCAAUAUGGAAUAUGAUUUUUUAUCUUUGGUUUCUUUCCUCGAUGCUUCUCCUUCCUUGGAGACUUUUGGCUUGUCUCUAUCAGUGGAGGCGAAGUAUGACUUGUUGGUUGGAGAUCCAUCAACCCUGAGGCAAAUGCCAGAACACCACCAUGACAAGCUCAAGAGUUUCCGGAUCACUGGUUUUUGCCCCCAAAGGAGCUUGGUUGAGCUAACACGCCAUAUUCUAGAGAGUUCAAUGUCAAUUAAGUGCCUUAUAUUAGACACUAUUAGGGUGAAUCGUCGGUGCUUUGGAAACAUAUCUAGGAAAUGCUCUACCCUGGACAAGGCGUAUAUCAAGGAGGCGUGCGAAUCGAUUGUGGCUAUAAAGACAUACAUUGAAGGAGUAGUUCCAUCUACAACUCGGUUACAUGUUCUGGGGCCUUGCAGCCGGUGUCAUGCUUUGUGA
rnacentral:rRNA from 1 species